AUGAACGCUGGCGGCGUGCCUCAUACCUGCAAGUCGAGCGAACAGAUGAGGAGCUUGCUCCUCUGACGUUAGCGGCGGACGGGUGAGUAACACGUGGAUAACCUACCUAUAAGACUGGGAUAACUUCGGGAAACCGGAGCUAAUACCGGAUAAUAUAUUGAACCGCAUGGUUCAAUAGUGAAAGACGGUUUUGCUGUCACUUAUAGAUGGAUCCGCGCCGCAUUAGCUAGUUGGUAAGGUAACGGCUUACCAAGGCAACGAUGCGUAGCCGACCUAAGAGGGUGAUCGGCCACACUGGAACUGAGACACGGUCCAGACGCCUACGGGAGGCAGCAGUAGGGAAUCUUCCGCAAUGGGCGAAAGCCUGACGGAGCAACGCCGCGUGAGUGAUGAAGGUCUUCGGAUCGUAAAACUCUGUUAUUAGGGAAGAACAAAUGUGUAAGUAACUAUGCACGUCUUGACGGUACCUAAUCAGAAAGCCACGGCUAACUACGUG
rnacentral:rRNA from 1 species